GGGGGGAGGCCCGAUCUUGGACUGUGUCCCGGCGCCCUGUGCUCCGGGGCCUGCGCUGUUGGAUUCGCGCUCCCGCCCCCCAGCCCCCU
rnacentral:pre_miRNA from 1 species